AAUAAUUGAACGUUUCACGAAGGAACUUGUAUGCGUUUGUAUUUAACACAUUUUUUAAAAAGUCCUAACAAAUAGCAAAAGCUGAACGUUGGUGCCGGAAAAUCUUGCUUAAGAAGAGGGAAACUUCGCUGAGCGACGCCGCUAAGUUAGUGAAAUUAACACGACUGUUAUCAGCAGCAGAGAGAGGAACGGUGACGCUGCCACAGUUUGCUGCAAUUGGAGAAUUCCGAAGAAAAAACAACGUAAACGAGAAAACUACGGUCAGCGUAAGCAGGAUCCUCUCCUCAAGACGACGGUGGAAGUCGAGGAAACGUAAUCAGCUGGAGGACGGGAUGAGGGUCGAUGAUGACGGCGGCUACAUCUGUGUUUGUGUGCGACUGCAGCCUCAGCGUGAGUCCGUAUUUACAUCUCAGUGAACAGAGAGAUUCACUCAUCAGUUUGAAUGACCUUGUAAAGUCGCUAAAUCCCCUGCUUCACAAUGAAUAAAUACAUAAACAAUGAAAUUUUAUCCGCUGGCAGAGGCAGUGGCUCAUUUCCACACAAAGUGAGAC